ACUCAACACCUUGUCAUCCUGUUGUUUUUAACUUUAUUUAACCCUUGGAUCAAAAAUAAUACCAGACAUCAAAACAAUUUAUAUUAUAAGGCAGUGGUAAAAUUUGUAAUUUAUAAUGUAACAUUUUCAAUGUAUCAACACUUAUAUCUACAAUUGUAGUAGAUGAUUCCAUUACCAUACUGGUGUCUGGUACUAUAGUAUAGUCGUAAUACACCUAUCAACUAAUAAGUAUUUACUACCAUAA